GAUCCUCAGACAAUCCAUGUGCUUCUCUUGUCCUUCAUUCCACCGGAGUCUGUCUCAUACCCAACCAGAUUUCAGUGGAGUGAAGUUCAGGAGGCAUGGAGCUGACAACCAUGAGGCCU
rnacentral:pre_miRNA from 1 species